rnacentral:misc_RNA from 1 species
UUUCCGUAGGUGAACCUGCGGAAGGAUCAUUACUGAGUUAGGGUCUUUAUGGCCCGCCCUCCAACCCUUUGUUUAAUCUACCAUGUUGCUUUGGCAGGCCCGCUUAGAAAUGGGCCGCCGGAGACCUUUGAGUCUCUGGUCAGUGCCUGCCAGUAGCCUUUCUAAAUUCAUUUAUAACCGUGUCUGAAUAUACAAAGAAAAAUUAAAAUAAAACUUCCAACAACGGAUCUCUUGGUUCUG